rnacentral:tRNA from 1 species
AAAACUUUAAGUUAACUAAACUAUUGACCUUCAAAGUCAAAAAUUCAAAUUGAAUGUUUUG